AGCUGAUCGCAGUCCUGAGGUGGUACAUUAUGGCUGACAUGCAAAAUCUGGUAGAAAGAUUGGAGAGGGCAGUGGGCCACCUGGAGGCAGUAUCACAUACCUCUGACAUGCACUGUGGGUAUGGAGACAAUUCAUCAAAAGGGGCAGUUCCAUAAGUGCAAGCAUUUGACUCACUGCUUGCCGGUCCUGUGAGAGAGUACUUGAAGAUCAGUAAAGAAAUUGGAGGAGACGUGCAGAAACAUGAGGAGAUGGUCCACACAGGUCUGAAGUUGGAGCGAGUACUCCUGGUUACAGCCUCUCAGUGUCAGCAGCCAGCAGGCAAUAAGCUUUGUGAUUUGCUGGCACCCAUCUCAGAGCAGAUCCAAGAAGUGAUAGCUUUUCCAGAGAAGAACCGAGGCAGCAAGUUGUUCAAUCACUUGUCAGCUGUCAGUGAAAGCAUCCAAGCCCUGGGCUGGGUGGCUAUGACUCCUAUGCCUGGCCCCUAUGUGAUAGAAAUGAAUGAUGCUGCUAUGUUUUAUACAAACCGAGUCCUCAAGGAGUACAAAGAUGUGAAUAAGAAGCAUGUAGAGUGGGUCAAAGCUUACUUGAGUAUAUGGACAGAGCAGCAGGGUUACAUUAAGGAGUUCCAUACCACCAGACUGUCCUGGAGCAAGACGGGGCCUGUGGCAAAAGAACUGAGUGGAUUACCAUCUGGACCUUCUGCUGGAUCAGGCCCACCUCCCCCACCAACAGGCCCACCUCCUCCCCCAGUCUCCACCAGUUCAGGCUCUGAUGAGUCUACAUCCCGUUCAGCACUGUUUGUGCAGAUUAAUCAGGGGGAGAGCAUCACACAUGCCCUAAAACAUGUAUCUGAUGACAUGAAGACUCACAAGAACCCCCUGCCUUGAAGGUUCAGAGUGGUCCAGUACGCAGUGGCCCCAGGCCGUUUUCUGCACCCAACCCCCAAACCAGCCCAUCCCCCAAACCAACCUCAAAGAAGGAGCUAGCUCUACUUAAACUGGAGGGCAAAAAGUGGAGAGUGGAAAAUCAGGAGAAUGUUUCCAACCAGGUGAUUGAUGACACGGAGCUGAAACAGGUGGUUUACAUGUACAAAUGUGUCAACACCAUAUUGCAAAUCAAGGGCAAAAUUAACUCCAUUACAGUAGAUAACUGUAAGAAACUUGGUCUGGUAUUUGAUGACUGUGGUGGGCAUCGUGGAGAUAAUCAAUAGUAGGGAUGUCAAAGUUCAGGUAAUGGGUAAAGUGCCAACCAUUUCCAUCAACAAAACAAAUGGCUGCCAUGCUUACUUGAGCAAGAAUUCCCUGGAUUGUGAGAUAGUCAGUGCCAAAUCUUCUGAGAUGAACGUCCUCAUUCCUACAGAAAGCGGUGACUUUAAUGAGUUUCCAGUCCCUGAGCAGUUCAAGACCUUAUGGAAUGAGCAGAAGUUGGUCACCACAGUGACAGAAAUUGCUGGUUAAGAGAAGUGCCACUGGGUUCUUUGCCCUCUCCGUUCACACCAUGGGAUAAAUCUGUAUCAAGACAGUU